ensembl:lncRNA
UCUCUCUGCAGCAACCGCUGAUGAAAAGUCCUCUUGGGGGACAGCGCUGCUGCACGAGAUGCUCCUGGACUCGGCCCCCUCGGUCCUCUGAGUGGCCGGCGGGCGCCGGGGGCCGUGGUGCCGAGCGCGCGGGAAGCACGCAGGCAGGCGGCCCAGGCCCACAGCAGGCAAGGUCCGGAGCGUUCCGCGCCGACCGCACGCAGCCUACCCCAGUCUUCGCUGCCCGGAUUCUGAUUGGGCGCAGUCCGGGCACCUGAGCGCUCAUUGGAGGCACCGAGUGUUCGUCAUCACUCCCUCCCGCCUAUACUCGCCGGGGCGCCUGGUAGCAAGGCUUUGGCUGCGCAGGAUGGCGCUGGUUCUGGGGAAGGCAGCCUGCACAGAUCCGGGUGGUACUUGUUCUUCCAGAUUGUGUGCCUGAUGCUGCUGCGCGUGGCCUGAGCAUUCUUGAUGGUCCAUACGUAGGAAGUGGCUGGCUUUCGCUGGCCAGAUCUCCGCUUCAUGACCACCUCGACCUUUGCUGUUGGUGGCGGGCUCCAUGCCCACGGUCUUGUGGUCAAUCAGCCCGUUGUAGCGGGAGGAGUUGCGGGCCUUCAGGUUAUUGGGAUUGGUGCUGUACUUCUCUUGAGAAAACAAGCAGUUCCGCACAACCAUCAUUGCAGAUGCGCGGACAUGGCAGCAGCUCCUUUAGCUGUGGCGGCCAGAGAUGGGAAAGAACUCCCAUAAGAUUUUUAAGUAUUCUAACACCAUUUAUUGAAAUAUUAUCCUUUCCCUCCACUAGAUGCAUUGGCACCUUUGUUGAAACUUUUCCAUGUGUGAGGAUCUAGUUCUAGUCUUUCAGCUCUGUUUAUUGAUCCAUAUAUCUAUCCUUAUGCUAAUAACACUUGAUUAGUGUAGCUAAAGGUAGUAUUGAAAUCAGUAAGUAUAAAUCUUCCAGCUUGGUUUUUAUUUUGCAGAAUUUUUUUGGCUGUUUUCAGUACUCUGCUUUUCCAUAUAAAUUUUAGAAUUGCCUUUUCAAUUUCUACCAAAAAAAAAAGCCUAAUUGGAUUUUGAUUGGGAUUGCACUAAAUAUUUAGAUUUAGGAAGAAUCGAUAUCUGAACACUAUGGAGCCUUCUCAACCUAUAAACAUGAUAUAUCUUUCCUUAUUUUUUUUAUUUUGACACUUAAUUUCUCUUAGCAGUGUUUUUACCUUUUGGUGUACAGGUCUUGCAAAUAUUGUUAAAUUUAAGAACUGAGGAUGUGGGGAGAGUAAAAGAAGGAUGUUAAGGUGAAUGUGGUUGAUGUACUGUCUGUACAAGAAUGAAUAUAGAAUUUUUAUUUUUUUUUAUGAAUACAGAAUUUUUAAAUCCAUUGAAACCAACGUAAGAAGGGGACUAAGGUAGAAAGAAGAAAACUAGAGAUGAGCCAAUUUGGGUUAUAAUACAUGGAAAUGUCACAAGGAGACUCCCUGUGUAGCUGUCUUAAACAAAAAUGUCUUUUUUUUUUCUUUUUUAAGGUACUGGGGUUUGAACUCAGGGCCUACACCUUGAGCCACUCCACCAAAUCUUUUUUGUGUUAGAUGUUUUCGAGAUAGGGUCUCACGGAAUUAUUUUCCUGGGCUGGCUUCGAACCAUGAUCCUCCUGAUCUCUGCCUCCUGAAUAGCUAGGAUUAUUGGAGUGAGCUACCAGCGCCCUUUUUUUUUUUUU